rnacentral:rRNA from 1 species
UACGUAGGUGGCAAGCGUUGUCCGGAAUUAUUGGGCGUAAAGCGCGCGCAGGUGGUUCUUUAAGUCUGAUGUGAAAGCCCACGGCUCAACCGUGGAGGGUCAUUGGAAACUGGGGAACUUGAGUGCAGAAGAGGAUAGUGGAAUUCCAAGUGUAGCGGUGAAAUGCGUAGAGAUUUGGAGGAACACCAGUUGCGAAGGCGACUAUCCGGUCUGUAACUGACACUGAGGCGCGAAAGCGUGGGGAGCAAACAGG